rnacentral:rRNA from 1 species
GAAUAUUGCACAAUGGGCGAAAGCCUGAUGUAGCCAUACCGCGUGUAUGAAGAAGGCCUUAGGGUUGUAAAGUACUUUCAGCGAGGAGGAAAGGUUAAGCAUUAAUACUGCUUAGCUGUGACGUUACUCGCAGAAGAAGCACCGGCUAACUCCGUGCCAGCAGCCGCGGUAAUACGGAGGGUGCGAGCGUUAAUCGGAAUUACUGGGCGUAAAGCGCGCGUAGGUGGUUAAUUAAGUCAGAUGUGAAAGCCCAGGGCUCAACCUUGGAACUGCAUUUGAAACUGGUUAACUAGAGUUUUGUAGAGGGUGGUAGAAUUUCAGGUGUAGCGGUGAAAUGCGUAGAGAUCUGAAGGAAUACCAGUGGCGAAGGCGGCCACCUGGACAAAGACUGACACUGAGGCGCGAAGGCGUGGGGAGCAAACGGGAUUAGAUACCCCGGUAGUCCACGCAGUAAACGAUGUCUAUUAGAAGUUUGUGGCUAUAUGCCGUGGGUUUCAAAGCUAACGCAUUAAAUAGACCGCCUGGGGAGUACGGCCGCAAGGUUAAAACUCAAAUGAAUUGACG